rnacentral:lncRNA from 1 species
UACGGGGUAUAUAUCUCCCAAUUGAUACGCUAUUCCCGUGCUUGCGUUUCCUAUCAUGAUUUUCUUGAUAGAGGGUUACUGCUCACAAGGAAGCUAUUAAACCAAGAGUUCCAAAUGGUGAAGUUGAAAUCAUCCCUUCGUAAAUUUUACGGACGCCAUCACGAGUUGGUUGACCGUUAUGGAAUAACCGUUUCACAAAUGAUAUCGGAAUAUUUCCUUACGUCGUAACUACAAUCCCCUUCCCUUUCAUGAAUGUGACCUACCGAAUUAAGACUAUUUACCGACUUUGUAAUCACAUAAGCAACACGACGGGUGCCACAUGUGGAGCAGGAUCUGCUUACCCUUCCGGAGCACCUGAGAUCACCCCUAGUUUUUGAUGGGGUUCGUGUUGUUUAUUCUUUAGUUUUCUAUGUUGUGUCAUGUGUACUAUUGUUUUUCUGUUUGUCUUUUUCAUUUUUAGCCAUGGCGUUGUCAGUUUGUUUUAGAUUUAUGAGUUUGACUGUCCCUUUGGUAUCUUUCGUCCC